GUUGAACGCUGGCGGCAUGCCUAACACAUGCAAGUCGAACGAGUGGCGGACGGGUGAGUAAUGUCUGGGAAACUGCCCGAUGGAGCGGGAUAACUACUGGAAACCGUAGCUAAUACCGCAUACCAUCGGAUGUGCCCAGAUGGGAUUCGCUGGUAGGUGGGGUAACGGCUAACCUAGGCGACGAUCCCUAGCUGGCCUGAGAGGAUGACCAGCCACACUGGAACUGAGACACGGUCCAGACUCCGACGGGAGGCAGCAGUGGGGAAUAUUGCGCAAUGGGCGCAAGCCUGAUGGAGCCAUGCCGCGUGUAUGAAGAAGGCCUUCGGGUCGUAAAGUACUUUCAGCGAGGAGGCGUUACUCGCAGAAGAAGCACCGGCUAACUCCGUGCCAGCAGCCGCGGUAAUAC
rnacentral:rRNA from 1 species